UCUUCCUUUCUUCCUUGCUAAGUUUCCUGAUCCCCAGUCCUCCCCCGGCCAAUCCCCGAAACUUCUCCGGGCGGAAAAACACUCCUCGGACCAGCCAGAUGCCUCCGCUACCCCGCAAGACCUCUCUCACUGGGAUGGGAUCCUCUGAAAUUUCACAACAGCACUGAGCAUUCCCUCCACUGCUUCAGGUUCAGUCCAAGAUUCUGUAAAUCAUCCUGCCUGCUGAGACUGAGCUAUGCUGGUGAAGGAAGAGCUGUGCUACUGGGAGUCUUCCAGUAGUCUUCCAGCAGUGA